rnacentral:rRNA from 1 species
AUUGAACGCUGGCGGCAGGCCUAACACAUGCAAGUCGAGCGCGCGGCGGACGGGUGUGUAUUGUCUGGGAAACUGCCUGAUGGAGGGGGAUAACUACUGGAAACAGUAGCGCAUACCGCAUACGAUCAGAUGUGCCCAGAUGGGGGUAGCUAGUAGGUGGGGUAACGGCUCACCUAGGCGACGAUCCCUAGCUGGUCUGAGAGGAUGACCAGCCACACUGGAACUGAGACACGGUCCAGACUCCUACGGGAGGCAGCAGUGGGGAAUAUUGCACAAUGGGCGCAAGCCUGAUGCAGCCAUGCCGCGUGUGUGAAGAAGGCCUUCGGGUUGUAAAGCACUUUCAGCGGGGAGGCGUUACCCGCAGAAGAAGCACCGGCUAACUCCGUGCCAGCAGCCGCGGUAAUUC